CUGCAGUCGACGAACUCUGGUAUUGAUUGGUGCUUGCAUCAUGAUUUACAUUUGAGUGAGUGGCGAACUGGUGAGUAACACGUGGGAAACCUGCCCAGAAGCGGGGGAUAACACCUGGAAACAGAUGCUAAUACCGCAUAACAACUUGGACCGCAUGGUCCGAGCUUGAAAGAUGGCUUCGGCUAUCACUUUUGGAUGGUCCCGCGGCGUAUUAGCUAGAUGGUGGGGUAACGGCUCACCAUGGCAAUGAUACGUAGCCGACCUGAGAGGGUAAUCGGCCACAUUGGGACUGAGACACGGCCCAAACUCCUACGGGAGGCAGCAGUAGGGAAUCUUCCACAAUGGACGAAAGUCUGAUGGAGCAACGCCGCGUGAGUGAAGAAGGGUUUCGGCUCGUAAAACUCUGUUGUUAAAGAAGAACAUAUCUGAGAGUAACUGUUCAGGUAUUGACGGUAUUUAACCAGAAAGCCACGGCUAACUACGUGCCAGCAGCCGCGGUAAUACGUAGGUGGCAAGCGUUGUCCGGAUUUAUUGGGCGUAAAGCGAGCGCAGGCGGUUUUUUAAGUCUGAUGUGAAAGCCUUCGGCUCAACCGAAGAAGUGCAUCGGAAACUGGGAAACUUGAGUGCAGAAGAGGACAGUGGAACUCCAUGUGUAGCGGUGAAAUGCGUAGAUAUAUGGAAGAACACCAGUGGCGAAGGCGGCUGUCUGGUCUGUAACUGACGCUGAGGCUCGAAAGUAUGGGUAGCAAACAGGAUUAGAUACCCUGGUAGUCCAUACCGUAAACGAUGAAUGCUAAGUGUUGGAGGGUUUCCGCCCUUCAGUGCUGCAGCUAACGCAUUAAGCAUUCCGCCUGGGGAGUACGGCCGCAAGGCUGAAACUCAAAGGAAUUGACGGGGGCCCGCACAAGCGGUGGAGCAUGUGGUUUAAUUCGAAGCUACGCGAAGAACCUUACCAGGUCUUGACAUACUAUGCAAAUCUAAGAGAUUAGACGUUCCCUUCGGGGACAUGGAUACAGGUGGUGCAUGGUUGUCGUCAGCUCGUGUCGUGAGAUGUUGGGUUAAGUCCCGCAACGAGCGCAACCCUUAUUAUCAGUUGCCAGCAUUAAGUUGGGCACUCUGGUGAGACUGCCGGUGACAAACCGGAGGAAGGUGGGGAUGACGUCAAAUCAUCAUGCCCCUUAUGACCUGGGCUACACACGUGCUACAAUGGAUGGUACAACGAGUUGCGAACUCGCGAGAGUAAGCUAAUCUCUUAAAGCCAUUCUCAGUUCGGAUUGUAGGCUGCAACUCGCCUACAUGAAGUCGGAAUCGCUAGUAAUCGCGGAUCAGCAUGCCGCGGUGAAUACGUUCCCGGGCCUUGUACACACCGCCCGUCACACCAUGAGAGUUUGUAACACCCAAAGUCGGUGGGGUAACCUUUUAGA
rnacentral:rRNA from 1 species